UCGACGGUACUGUAUUGGACUACCGUGGCAGUGACGGGUAACGGGGAAUUAGGGUUCGAUUCCGGAGAGGGAGCCUGAGAAACGGCUACCACAUCUAAGGAAGGCAGCAGGCGCGCAAAUUACCCAAUCCUGACUCAGGGAGGUAGUGACAAGAAAUAACAACACUGGAAAUUAUAUUUCUAGUGAUUGGAAUGAUGGGAAUCCAAACCCCUUUCAGAGUAACAAUUGGAGGGCAAGUCUGGUGCCAGCAGCCGCGGUAAUUCCAGCUCCAAUAGCGUAUAUUAAAGUUGUUGCAGUUAAAAAGCUCGUAGUUGGAUAUCUGCUGGAAGCAGCCAGUCCGCUCUUUGGGUGUGCACUUGGUGAAUUCUGGCAUCCUCCUGAUUGGUGUUAUCAUCACUUCAUUGUGUUGAUGGCAGCUAUCAGGACUGUUACUUUGAGAAAAUUAGAGUGUUUCAAGCAGGCUUGUUGCCUUGAAUACUGCAGCAUGGAAUAACAAGAUAGGAUUUCGGUUCUAUUUUGUUGGUUUCUAGGACUGAAGUAAUGAUUAAUAGGGACAGUUGGGGGCAUUCGUAUUUAACUGUCAGAGGU
rnacentral:rRNA from 1 species